rnacentral:rRNA from 1 species
CAAUAGCGUAUAUUUAAGUUGCUGCAGUUAAAAAGCUCGAAGUUGGAUUUCGGGUGGGAAUGGCCGGUCCGCCGUUUCGGUGUGCACUUGCUACGCCCACCUUGCUGCCGGGGACGUGCUCUUGAGUUCACGCUCGGGACACGGAGUCGGCGAGGUUACUUUGAGUAAAUUAGAGUGUUCAAAGCAGGCCUACGCUCUGAAUACAUUAGCAUGGAAUAACACGAUAGGACUCUGGCCUAUCUUGUUGGUCUGUAGGACCGGAGUAAUGAUUAAGAGGGACAGUCGGGGGCAUUCGUAUUUCAUUGUCAGAGGUGAAAUUCUUGGAUUUAUGAAAGACGAACUACUGCGAAAGCAUUUGCCAAGGAUGUUUUCAUUAA